CAGAAAAGAUGCGUAAAAGUUCGCAGGAUUUGCCUUACGCACGAGAGUCUUAUCACCAGAACAAAAGGCAUCCUGUGCGGUGUGCCUUUGCUCCACAGAACAUACCACAGUCUCCACAGUAAUGGUGGCAGACAGACUCUACAUUUGGAAGGUAAUACUGAGGCCAACACCAUGUGACAUCCUUGAGAAAUGACACCAUCUUGUGGAUUACCACAGACCUGUCCGUGAACACCGUUGACACCCACCUGAGGGAGACGCUGCCUAAGAUCUCAAGGCUGCUUGGUCGUGGCCUUUCUGCUCCAGAACGCCUUGAUCAACUCCGUCUUCUUUUAAAGAGGCCCUCAGAUGCUGCAGUCUCUGACCUUAAGAAGGAACUGCUACUUUCACUCUGUAAGGAGACGGCGGUUAUUUAAAGACCCAGCUCCUGGCGGCUUUGAGUGAAAAUUUAACAUCCAUCAAAACUGCAGAAAGUUAAAUCUGAGCCGUCGGUCAGUAUUUCAAACAUCAGUCCGACCCGGGUGCUCAAAAGCACGCUGUGGGUGAAACGGAAACUUCAGCCUCCACAUCACCGACGACAUCCUCACACCCCAAAACAGAGCACCUGUCUGCUAAACUUUUAAAAGUGGAAUAUAAAGGUGAAGAAUGUGAGCAGCAGAACAGGUGUGAUCAGAAAGAAGUCAUUUUCUUUUCUUUCUGGUUGUCUUGAUGCUGUCAGAUGCAGAUGUUGGAGCUGAUUCUGAUCUUUCAGGAGAAUAAGCUACUUUUCCUUCAUAGACUUUUCAGGAAAUUAUUCUCUCAGGUUUUCUCUGCUAUUUAUAUUUUUAUUAUCUGUGAUCAUUUCAUUAUUGUAAAACAAAACUGGAAGUGUUGCUUUCAGUGAUUUUUUAAUAAAUAGCAAAUAUGA